CCUACGGGUGGCUGCAGUGAGGAAUAUUGGUCAAUGGACGCGAGUCUGAACCAGCCAAGUAGCGUGAAGGAUGACUGCCCUACGGGUUGUAAACUUCUUUUAUAAGGGAAUAAAACAGGGUAUGCAUACCCUCUUGUAUGUACCUUAUGAAUAAGGAUCGGCUAACUCCGUGCCAGCAGCCGCGGUAAUACGGAGGAUCCGAGCGUUAUCCGGAUUUAUUGGGUUUAAAGGGAGCGUAGAUGGGUUGUUAAGUCAGUUGUGAAAGUUUGCGGCUCAACCGUAAAAUUGCAAUUGAUACUGGCAGUCUUGAGUACAGUAGAGGUAGGCGGAAUUCGUGGUGUAGCGGUGAAAUGCUUAGAUAUCACGAAGAACUCCGAUUGCGAAGGCAGCUCACUAAACUGCAACUGACACUGAUGCUCGAAAGUGUGGGUAUCAAACAGGAUUAGAUACCCGGGUAGUC
rnacentral:rRNA from 1 species